AUUGAACGCUGGCGGCAGGCCUAACACAUGCAAGUCGAGCGGAUGAAGGGAGCUUGCUCCUGGAUUCAGCGGCGGACGGGUGAGUAAUGCAUAGGAAUCUGCCUGGUAGUGGGGGAUAACGUCCGGAAGCGGGCGCUAAUACCGCAUACGUCCUGAGGGAGAAAGUGGGGGAUCUUCGGACCUCACGCUAUCAGGUGAGCCUAGGUCGGAUUAGCUAGUUGGUGGGGUAAAGGCCUACCAAGGCGACGAUCCGUAACUGGUCUGAGAGGAUGAUCAGUCACACUGGAACUGAGACACGGUCCAGACUCCUACGGGAGGCAGCAGUGGGGAAUAUUGGACAAUGGGCGAAAGCCUGAUCCAGCCAUGCCGCGUGUGUGAAGAAGGUCUUCGGAUUGUAAAGCACUUUAAGUUGGGAGGAAGGGCAGUAAGUUAAUACCUUGCUGUUUUGACGUUACCAACAGAAUAAGCACCGGCUAACUUCGUG
rnacentral:rRNA from 1 species